rnacentral:rRNA from 1 species
UACGGAGGGGGCUAGCGUUAUUCGGAAUUAUUGGGCGUAAAGGGCGUGUAGGCGGCUUUGUGUGUCCCAUGUGAAAGCCCUCGGCUCAACCGGGGAACUGCAUGGGAACUGCAGAGCUUGAGUACGGAAGAGGCGAGUGGAAUUCCUGGUGUAGCGGUGAAAUGCGCAGAUAUCAGGAGGAACACCAAUGGCGAAGGCGGCUUUCUGGGCCUUACCUGACGCUGAGGAGCGAAAGCUGGGGGAGCGAACAGG